UCACCCCUCAAGCCCCCUGGCUUGGUGUUGGACGGUUCGGUGGAGGCCCCUCGCGGGCUCCUGCCCCUCCCAAAGACAAUGACGGCGGCCUCGUUGGACCCCCGGUACACUGAGUUCUUCACGGGACACGUAUCGGACACAUGGGUCUACGGGGCACGGUCUGCCUCCCCUCAGGGAGAAUUUUUCUAA
rnacentral:misc_RNA from 1 species